rnacentral:misc_RNA from 1 species
AAGAGCCACACCUUCCGCUAUACCAAGCAUAGCUCGCAUGGCCAUUAGAGCCCAUAAAGAAGUUUCAGCAGCAAAGGGAGUAAGAAAGGUAGCUAAUGACCACAGCGUGACACCCCAUCCCAUGACUACCUUACCACCAUAAUAAUCAACCAAAGUCCCUCCAGCUAUCGGAGAAAUUAGAUAUCCCCAGAGGAAGGAAGACUGAACAAUACCGGAGAAGGAUCGGCUCCAUCCGUGAGUAAGCGACAACGGUACAAUCGCCACAGACAUCACCACACGAUCAGCAUUACAAAGCGCGAGUGCCAAAGCCAGCAUAGCAGCCACUUUGACCCUCUCCGACGUUAUAAACUCCAUAAAGCUCGGCGACUGCGGCUCGCUAUCAUCCUGUAAAGAACCGAACCGAGCAUCGUCCGAAGAAACCCUAACUCGCGAGAACGAAACUGUACGGAACUCAACCGAGUCAUGCCGCAGUUGAACUUGCAGAGAACUUGGUGGAAAGGAAACGAUUCGGUAGCAGUUGUUCUUAGGUAAUUCGGCGAAAGCAGAGGGAAAUUGAAGCUUUAAGAUAUUGAAUUUGAGGGUUUUGUGGUUUUGGAACACAGAAAAGGAGUGAGUACUGUUUGGCCGAUUAAGCAACAGCGACGAGUUCAUUUUUUGAGCACCCUUGGCCC